GAGAUAGACCGCCUCAAGCGUCGGAGGGCGGAGCUUGCCAAGGAGAUGGAGCAAGUGACCAAGACAAUCAAUGCCGAAGACAAAAAGCUCCAAGAGCUACCUUCUGUCAUUGCCGAUUUGACACGGGAGAGGCAGCGCUUUGCUCACGAGGCCCUAAGACUCCACCGCAGCGCAUCAGAGGUCCCCGGAUCGGCGGAUGAAAACCAACGGGUCCUUGACUCUGCCGAUCAGAUCCGGCGUCGGGCAAUCACGGCUAUCGAUACCCUGCUGGGUAAUCUGUA
rnacentral:lncRNA from 1 species